rnacentral:rRNA from 1 species
UAACAGAGGGUGGCAAGCGUUAAUCGGAAUUAUCUGGGCGUAAAGCGCGCGUAGGUGGUUUGUUAAGUUGGAUGUGAAAUCCCCGGGCUCAACCUGGGAACUGACAUCCAAAACUGGCAAGCUAGAGUAUGGUAGAGGGUGGUGGAAUUCCUGUGUAGCGGUGAAAUGCGUAGAUAUAGGAAGGAACACCAGUGGCGAAGGCGACCACCUGGACUGAUACUGACACUGAGGUGCGAAAGCGUGGGGAGCAAACAGGA